UGAAUUGAGAAAUAGUUAUAUGAGUAAAUACUAAAACAUUAAUCAAAAGUGCAAAUCUAGAUCAGGGAGAGGAUAUUUUUGUGAUGGGUGGAGUGAUGCUAUCAAGAUAACAUGGGGACUGAACAGCAGUCAUUGUAGUGCAAUGAAAGUAGAACUGAUGCAGAUAAGUAUUCAAACUGAUUGAACAACUAAAUAAAAACAUUUUUUGAGAACUCAUUCUACUACACAACUUUCCAUUUGUAGAAGAUACUCCAGAUACUCCCACUGCUGAUGCUUUUGGAGUUUGGUGAAAGCUCAAUUAUUGCUAACUUCAGGGAAGAAAAUAAUUUAAAGUCAAUUAUUAGAAUUCUACAAAUAUCUGUGGUGGAAUAUAGUCUGGAUUCCCAGAAGGGAAAAGCUGCAUUCCAGAAGACCAAGAGACAGUAAGUUUAGAUACCAGAAGUUUGGUUGGAAGAAAGGAUCAAAAUAGCUCAUCCCUAGAAGUGUUCAGAGUAUAUUUUAAUGAGGUAGUAGUUGUUUUAUUUGGGCAAGAUUUCUGUCUGUAGGUGAGGAACAAUAAAGGAAACUGCUUAGAAGUAA